rnacentral:rRNA from 1 species
CAGUCGCCACGGUAAAACGUAGGGUGCAAGCGUUAAUCGGAAUUACUGGGCGUAAAGCGUGCGCAGGCGGUUAUAUAAGACAGAUGUGAAAUCCCCGGGCUCAACCUGGGAACUGCAUUUGUGACUGUAUAGCUAGAGUACGGCAGAGGGGGAUGGAAUUCCGCGUGUAGCAGUGAAAUGCGUAGAUAUGCGGAGGAACACCGAUGGCGAAGGCAAUCCCCUGGGCCUGUACUGACGCUCAUGCACGAAAGCGUGGGGAGCAAACAGGAUUAGAUACCCCCGUAGUCCCUGUCUCUUAUAC